UUGUCUCAAAGAUUAAGCCAUGCAUGUCUCAGUACAAGCCAAAUUAAGGUGAAACCGCGAAAAGCUCAUUAAAUCAGUUAUGGUUCCUUAGAUUGUACCACAAUUACUUGGAUAACUGUGGUAAUUCUAGAGCUAAUACAUGCAAACAGAGCUCCAAACACUUGUGCCCCGUCAAACGGGUAUGGGAUGGAAGGAGCGCUUUUAUUAGAUCAAAACCAAUCGUUGAUCAGGUGGUUUUAAUCGGACCGGUUUGCAUCCAAACGGUUGUUUGAGCGGAGAACGACAUCACCAUCUCCUUCAGGUUGCGAGUGGGCAACUGCUCGCUUUCGGCUGUGAGGUGCCGCUGUUGCACGUACCGCUACCAGCCGGCUUACUUGGCCCGGUGCUGUCUGGUCAUCGUUCACACGAUAUGGUGAAUCUGAAUAACUUUAUGCUGAUCGCACGGUCUUGCACCGGCGACGUAUCUUUCAAAUGUCUGCCUUAUCAACUGUCGAUGGUAGGUUCUGCGCCUACCAUGGUUGUAACGGGUAACGGGGAAUCAGGGUUCGAUUCCGGAGAGGGAGCCUGAGAAACGGCUACCACAUCCAAGGAAGGCAGCAGGCGCGCAAAUUACCCACUCCCGGCACGGGGAGGUAGUGACGAAAAAUAACGAUACGGGACUCAUCCGAGGCCCCGUAAUCGGAAUGAGUACAUUCUAAACAUUUUAACAAAGACAAUUGGAGGGUAAGUCUGGUGCCAGCAACCGCGGUAAUUCCAGCUCCAAAAGCGUAUAUUAAAGUUGUUGCGGUUAAAAAGCUCGUAGUCGAAUCUGUGUUCCGCGCCGUUGGUUCAUCGUUCGCGGUGUAAUUGACGUGUGGCGGGACGUCCUGCCGGUGGGUUUAGCCCUUUUAGUGGGGCGACCCAAUACCAAUCCUGCCGCGGUGCUCUUUAUUGAGUGUCGAGGUGGGCCGGCACGUUUACUUUGAACAAAUUAGAGUGCUUAAAGCAGGCUAAUAAUUGCCUGAAUUCUUGGUGCAUGGAAUAAUAGAAUAGGACCUCGGUUCUAUUUUGUUGGUUCUGAGAACACCGAGGUAAUGAUUAAUAGGAACGGAUGGGGGCAUUCGUAUUACGACGUUAGAGGUGAAAUUCUUGGAUCGUCGUAGGACGGACGGCCGCGAAAGCAUUUGCCAAACACGCUUUCAUUGAUCAAGAACGAAUGUUAGAGGCUCGAAGGCGAUCAGAUACCGCCCUAGUUCUAACCAUAAACGAUGCCAGCUGACGAUCCGCCGACGUUCCUCCGAUGACUCGGCGGGCCGCCUUCGGGAAACCAAAGCUUUUGGGUUCCGGGGGAAGUAUGGUUGCAAAGCUUAAACUUAAAGGAAUUGACGGAAGGGCACCACAAGGAGUGGAGCUUGCGGCUUAAUUUGACUCAACACUGGAAAAUUCACCAGACCCAGAAACCGGAAGGAUUGACAGAUUGAGAGCUCUUUCUUGAUUCGGAUGGUGGUGGUGCAUGGCCGUUUGUGGUUGGUGGAGUGAUUUGUCUGCUUAAUUCCGAUAACGAACGAGACUCUAGCCUACUAAAUAGACGUUCGACAUCCUAGAGGCCGACCAGCCCUUUGUACGGCUCACGGCCGCCGGGUGGUUGUUGUUUUGGGGGGCAGCCGGGAGGGACACGGACCAUGCUGUGAUUCCGAGCGAGCGAGCGAGCCGGGGUGUGUGUGUAUGAUCGCAAGAUCUGCAUGCCAUUCUGUCGCCCGUGUUGUUCGUGUUGCAGUUGGUUCGUUCCUGAACGGUCCUCCGGACGCAAUUUCAUUACCGACGUCACCGGUUCGAGUCGAUACAGAUCGGUUGUGCGCGGCUUUUACUGUCGGCGUAUAAAUAAAUCUUCUUAGAGGGACAGGCGGCUUUGAGCCGCACGAGACUGAGCCAAAACAGGUCUGUGAUGCCCUUCGAUGCUCUGGGCUGCACGCGCGCUACAAUGAAGGAAUCAGCGUGUCCUCCCUGGCCGAGUGGUCCGGGUAAACCGCUGAACUUCCUUCGUGCUAGGGAUUGGGGAUUGCAAUUAUUCCCCAUGAACGAGGAAUUCCCAGUAAGCGCGAGUCAUUAACUCGCGUUGAUUACGUCCCUGCCCUUUGUACACACCGCCCGUCGCUACUACCGAUUGAAUGAUUUAGUGAGGUCUUCGGACUGGUACUCGGUGU
rnacentral:rRNA from 1 species